CCUGGCCUUGACAUACUAAGAACUUCCAGAGAUGGAUUGGUGCCUUCGGGAACUUAGAUACAGGUGCUGCAUGGCUGUCGUCAGCUCGUGUCGUGAGAUGUUGGGUUAAGUCCCGCAACGAGCGCAACCCUUUUCCUUAUUGCCAGCGGGUUAAGCCGGGAACUUUAAGGAUACUGCCAGUGACAAACUGGAGGAAGGCGGGGACGACGUCAAGUCAUCAUGGCCCUUACGGCCAGGGCUACACACGUGCUACAAUGGUCGGUACAAAGGGUUGCUACCUCGCGAGAGGAUGCUAAUCUCAAAAAGCCGAUCGUAGUCCGGAUCGCAGUCUGCAACUCGACUGCGUGAAGUCGGAAUCGCUAGUAAUCGCGGAUCAGAAUGCCGCGGUGAAUACGUUCCCGGGCCUUGUACACACCGCCCGUCACACCAUGGGAGUUUGUUGCACCAGAAGUAGGUAGUCUAACCGCAAGGAGGACGCUUACCACGGUGUGGCCGAUGACUGGGGUGAAGUCGUAACAAGGUAGGCGUAGAUGA
rnacentral:rRNA from 1 species